UACGGAAGGCAGCAGUGGGGAAUAUUGCACAAUGGGCGCAAGCCUGAUGCAGCCAUGCCGCGUGUAUGAAGAAGGCCUUCGGGUUGUAAAGUACUUUCAGCGGGGAGGAAGGCGAUGUGGUUAAUAACCGCAUCGAUUGACGUUACCCGCAGAAGAAGCACCGGCUAACUCCGUGCCAGCAGCCGCGGUAAUACGGAGGGUGCAAGCGUUAAUCGGAAUUACUGGGCGUAAAGCGCACGCAGGCGGUCUGUCAAGUCGGAUGUGAAAUCCCCGGGCUUAACCUGGGAACUGCAUUCGAAACUGGCAGGCUAGAGUCUUGUAGAGGGGGUAGAAUUCCAGGUGUAGCGGUGAAAUGCGUAGAGAUCUGGAGGAAUACCGGUGGCGAAGGCGGGCCCCUGGGACAAAGACUGACGCUCAGGGUGCGAAAGCGUGGGGAGCGAAACAGGGAUUAGGAUAACC
rnacentral:rRNA from 1 species